rnacentral:rRNA from 1 species
GGGUAAAGCUCAAGUUUAAAACCUGUUUGUCCUAGACAAACCGGAUUGUAAACUAAGGACGUGCUAUCCAGGCUCUUUGGACCUUCAAGUCCUUUGGAAUAAGGCUUCACAGAGGGUGACAAUCCCGUAGAGGGUCUUGAAAGAGUCUAUUGCGAUGCAUGCUCCAAGAGUCAGGUUGUUUGGGAAUGCAGCCUAAAGUGGGAGGUAAAUCCCUCCUAAAGCUAAAUAUUGGCGAGAGACCGAUAGCAAACAAGUACCGUGAGGGAAAGUUGAAAAGGACUUUGAAAAGAGAGUCAAAAGUACGUGAAAUUGCUUAAAGGGAAGCGUUUGGAGCUAGUUUGGCUAGUCUGUUAUCAGCCUGAGCUUCGGCUUUGGUGUACUAUCAGGCUAUUUGCCGGCCAACUUUCAGGAUUGGAAGGAAAGCUUAGUGCUUUGGAGUCUAAAGAGACCUUUGCGGAAGCCUCUGGUGGAGCGUUGGUCUGCCUUGGCCCUUCUGAACCUAUAGUUGGCUUAAUGGCUCUAAACGGCCCG